UUUGAAGGUAUAUUAAGUUUCUAUUGUAACAAAUUAAUACAAACAGUGUCUUAAAACAACACAAAUUUAUUCUGUUACAGUUCUGGAGGUUAAAAAUUCUAAAUCAGUUUCACUGGGCUAAGAUCAAUGUAUUAUAAGGACUGCAUUCUUUCUGAAGGCUCUAGGGGAGAAUCUAUUUCUUGUCUUUUCCAGCUUCUAGAGUCUGGCUAUAUUUCUUGGUUUGUAGCCCCUUUACAAGCAACGACAUCAAUCUGACCUCUGCUUCCAUUAUUACAUCUCUUUCUGUGACCCUGACCCUCCUAUUCCCUCUUGUAACCCUUGUGAUUACAUUGGACUUCCCCACAUAAUCCAGGAUGAUCUCUCCAUCUCAAGAUCCUUAAUUUAAUAAGAGUCACUUUCCACCAAUUGACGUUUCUCUUCAUAAUGGAUCACAUUUUAUGCUACUUUGCAUUGCAGACUGCUACACUGCCCUGCAAAACUUAGCCACUUCAGACUUCCUGGACUUCCAGCUCCAUACUCUCAACUCAACAAUCUCCAAGUUCUGCCCAGCUUCUUCCUUUAUUCUCAGUGGCCUGAAAACUCUCUGAAGGGUGCUGUCGAAAAAAACCACCAGAUGUCGAAUAGAAGCAAGGCAAGAUUUUAUUCACCGCCAGGCCAAACCUGAUCUGAUCUUAGGGAGAAAAGUGCAGAGAACGCCCUGAACAAAGCCUGAACCAGUGGCCUCAUGGGGAGUUCCCUAUAUUCAGCUGACAAAGGAAAAGUCAAGCCAUGUUUACUCAUGGUUCUGUAUGGCAAAAUUCACAGAUCCAGGAUUCAAGGUGUGGAAAUGGGAGUGGCACUCCUCACUAUUACUCCUAGUGACUCACCAGCAAAAUUUUUGCUUACUGUUUCUGAGAAUUUAUGCUUUACUGGCCUGCAGGUCUUAGUUCCAGAGGAAAUAAUUUUCUACCAGGUAACUCAAAAUGAAUCCAUUAAACAGAAAGUUAAGGCUGCAACCCAGCUACUUUGGGGUCCUCCUACCUCUAAAUCAACAGGCAAAGAAAGGUAUUAAGGUUCUGGCUUUCGUAACUGAAUCCGACUGCCAAGGAAAAAUUGGACAGCUACUCUACAGCAGAUUAGGAAGAAUAUGUCUGGAAUACAGGAGAUCUCUUAGGGCAUCUUUUAGUAUUACCAUACCCUUUGAUUAAUGUCAAUUGAAAGCCACAACAACCCAAUGGGCCAGACUCUAGGAAAGAAGGUUUGGAUCACCCCAAAGGUAAAGAACCAUGACGAGCUGAAAUGCUUCCUGAAGGAAUAAAGCAGUAGAAGAAAGUAGUCAUAAAUAUCACUACAAUCAUGUGACAGAAAAGAGGACUGAAAUUGUCAUGAGUAUUUCCUCCUUUAUUUUGUAAUAAAUGUAUGUAUGUAUGUAU